rnacentral:rRNA from 1 species
UCCGUAGGUGAACCUGCGGAAGGAUCAUUACUGUGAUAUGCAUUCCACACUGCGUGCGCGUAACAAACCCCUAAACAUGAAUAACCCAGUCAAGAAUCCAUAAGAAUAAAACUUUCAACAACGGAUCUCUUGGUUCUCGCAUCGAUGAAGAGCGCAGCGAAAUGCGAUACCUAGUGUGAAUUGCAGCCAUCGUGAAUCACCAAGUUCUUGAACGCACAUUGCGCCCCCUGGUAUUCCGGGGGGCAUGCCUGUUUGAGCGUCGUUUCUAUCUCACGCAAGUGGAGCUGGCCCGGCCUUGGCCCCGCCGAAAAGAAACGAGGGCGAAGCGAACUAUGUUGUGCGCCGACCCCAGCUAUCAAGCUCGACCUCAAAUCAGGUAGGAAUACCCGCUGAACUUAAGCAUAUCAAUAAGCGGAGGA